rnacentral:rRNA from 1 species
AAACCAGGAUUAGAUACCCUGUUAUACUAGAUUAAAACUAAAUUUCGCUUGAGUAGUAACAAGUUAUAAGCUCGAAACUUAAAGGAUUUGGCGGUAUUUAAGUCUAGUUAGAGGAACCUGCUCUGUAAACGAUAUGCCACGAAUAAUCUUACUUUAUCUUGUAUUCAGUUUGUAUACCUCCAUUAUAGGUUAUAUUUUUAAAAAUUUUCUGUAAUAAAAAUUUUUUUUAAUAUAUUAGGUCAAGGUGCAGCUAAUGAAAAAGUAGUUGUGGGUUACAUUAUAUUAUAUAUACAUGAAUAAAAUUAUGAAACUAUUUUUUGAAAUUGGAUUUAAUUGUAUUUCUACAAUAAAAAGGUAGAAUGAUUG